GUAAAAGGCUGUGGUGCUGAUCAACGAAGGAUUUCUCGGAGAAAAUUCCUCCUUUGCGGAAAUGUCCGUAGAAACGCACCUUUUUUUUUUCCUGCCAGGACAAACCGCCGGCGAUAUCCGUUCAUGUGAAAGUGUUUACUAACAUUCUCUGAAGACUCACUGGGUUCUCAGCUCGAGAACGUUCCUGUCACAAGACGUUUAGGAGGCAGGAUGCCGGUACAAUGUAUUUAUGUUCUUGUAAACUGUUGCAUUAACAGUGCACUUCAAGUGGGCACAUUUGUCGUUGGAUUUUUUACCAACUCGAGCUUGGACUUUAGGACGGGGAAAAGAAGUGCUAAAUGUUUUUGAAUAAAACCUUUACUGCACAUGAUAAACAUCCCUUAAAAAUUACCUAGGAGCACCCUAAAUUUUAAAAUGAUCACAAAGACCUGGACAGAUUACAGUAAACCUUCAACAUCGCUAAACACACGUACCAUAAAUCAAAAGAAACACACUGCUAAUGAUCCGUUUUUUGAUGUGGAAAUAUCAUGCUGUUUUUAAGGGAAAUUAUACUUUAUUGCGAUGUUUUAUUUCAAAACAAGAUGUUACACUUUAUUUCCUAUAAUUUUAUUUACAAUAUUUUACACCCGUUAAGCAAAAAUCCCCCUACAUUGCUAUUCUGUUUUUUUUUAAUCAGUUCACUACUGUAGUAUCUUUUUGUUCUCCAUAUAUUUUUGAAAAAUACGCAAAAGGUAAGUUUUAAAAAUCAAAUGGUAGAUUUUAUUUGGAAGGGCACUGCCAGAAGUGCCUUAAAGUUUGAUAGUUUGACAAUUGUUUCGUAUUGUACGAUUCUUGGCAUUUCCGUUUUUUUUUUUAACAAUUUAUCCAUUUCAUCUAGAUUAUCGGCUUCAUGAGUU
rnacentral:lncRNA from 1 species